rnacentral:rRNA from 1 species
CCCUUAGGCGUUCUGGGCCGCACGCGCGCUACACUGACCGGUGCAACAAGCAUCCGUCCUUGGCCGACAGGCCCGGGCAAUCUUUGAACGCCGGUCGUGAUGGGGAUAGACUUUUGCAAUUUUUGGUCUUCAACGAGGAAUUCCUAGUAAACGCAAGUCAUCAACUUGCAUUGAUUACGUCCCUGCCCUUUGUACACACCGCCCGUCGCACCUACCGAUUGAAUGGUCCGGUGAAGCCUCCGGAUUGGCGCGCACCUCGGUGCCGCCGAGAAGUUGGCUAAACCUUACCAUUUAGAGGAAGGUGAAGUCGUAACA